rnacentral:lncRNA from 1 species
UAGACUCCUAUCAGCUAAAGGUAACCAUUAGUGAGGUUAUUGUUCCAAACAGGAUUUUUUUGGCCACUCAUUAACUUUUUCUUUACAUGAAUGAGAUUGUACUAAAUACAGUACAAAGUUUUUUCUGGGCGUGGUGACCCACACCUGUAAUACCAGCGCCAGGGAGGCCAAGACAGGAGAUAGCUAGAAGCAGGGAGCAGCCUGAGCUACAUCUGUAGUGAGCUCCAGACCAGCCUACACUAUAUAGCAAGGCCCUGUCUCAAAAAGGCCAAAUAAAUAAACAAAUAAACAAAAUGCAAAGUUUUUGCAUCCAGCACAUUUCUGAUUCUAGUCAUUAUUUUCACAGGGUGCCGUGGCACACAUCUGUAAUCCUAUCACUCAGGAGGCAGAUGCAGGAGGAUCACAAGUUUGAGACCAGACUUCGUCUGCAUAGCAAGUCGAAUGCCUGCCUGCCUGGACCACAUAAGUACAGCACUGUCUGCAGCCCCUGCGAAGGAGAAGCUGUCUGGUGCCAUUAGCGUCCCUGAAGAGCAGUGUUUUGCAUGUCUGCUCUACAUCACCGCCCUUCCUCCAAGACCCGACCCAGUGACUGAGGAUGCUGGCCUCACCGUGCCUUCCACCAUGGCCAUGCUGUGUGUGGACAAUCUGGGCUCCUCUUUCUCGGUCUCCCCCGGGGUCACUCGUGUGACUGUGGUACCCAGCUCUGGAGGGUCCGAGGUGGUGUCCUCACGUGUUCCACAGUCAGUGCUGGCUCUCUCUCUCUUCUGUGUCUUUCUUACAAAAGAAAAAGGAAUCAUAUGGUUUAUGGAAGAAAAUUUAGAAAUGCUGUCAAAACAAGGGAAAGAAAAUAGCACUCACCUAUAAUGCCAGCACCUCAGAAUAACCAUUGUUGGUAUUUAGACAUAUAUAUCUAUCCAGCCUUACUCUAAAAUAUUGGUAACAAUGUGUAGUCUACAAAAAUGCAUAUUAUUGAUUACUUCUUUUUUUUUUUUUUUUUUUUUCCAAACCCGGUUUCUUUUCUUUUUUUUGCAGAACCAGGGAUCAAACUCAGGACCUUGUGCUUGCCAGGCAGGCAUGGCACCACUGAGCUACAUCCCUGGCCCUACUUUUUUGUUUUGUGACACAGGGUCUUGCUAUGUAGUUCAGGCUAGCCUUGAACUUGCAGUACUAUGUAGUCUAGGGUGGCCUCGAACUCAUGGUGAUCCCUGCCUCAGCCUCCCAAGAGCUGGGAUUACAGGUGUGUGCCACUAUGCCAGGCAUUGAUUAUUUUCUUGAUAGGCACUGUGCUGUAUCCUCUGCAUAGAUUAUUUCAUUUAAUACUCACUGCACUCCUACAGAACAGAUACUAUUACUAUUACUAUUACUAUUACUAUUACUGUCUUUAGGGAAGGAAAAAUUGAUGCUUAGCGACCUUAUACAUACAUAUAUACUGUCUUGUAACUCCUUUUUUCAUAUAACAUCAUGCAUAAUUCCUCACUUGAUUGCUUUUGAACAGGCUGGAUCAAAAUAAAAAAGUAACAAAGACUUUACAUAAAAAUAAUGUGGGUUUUUUUACAAGGGAGUAAUACUCAGCCACAAAGAAACACAAACUUGAGACAUUUCUAGGUUAAUGGAUGCACCUUGAGACCAUAGUCUUAAGUGAAAUAAAUCAGACACACAUGUAAAUAUCACAUUGUCUCUCUGGUGUGAGAAGCUGAAAGGGUAAAUAAGGACCAAAAUGUAUAGUAGAUAAUGGGAAAUUGUUCAAAAGGAAAGGGAAACUGAAAGUUGGAAGGGGGAAAAGGAAGGGAAAAGAAAAAAAAUGGAAACAAAGCUUUUGUAAAUGAGGAGGGGAGGGGAUUGGGAGAAAAAGAGGAAUCAAGGUAUACCAUAAACAGGUACAAAUUCCCCUUAAUGAAUGUGAUCGUUAUGUAUAUUCAAAUUGUGCCAAUAAAAUCAAUUUUAAAAAACAAUGACUUUACAAUAUUUGGAUCUCUGAUUUCUGGCCAAAUUUGCUUCUUGAGCCUGUCAGGUGAUUGCAGAUUAGAACAAAAUAAUGAUGCAUGCCCUUCACUGCAAAGUACUAGCUUUGACAUUUCAAU